AACGAACGCUGGCGGCAUGCCUGACACAUGCAAGUCGAACGAAGGCUUCGGCCUUAGUGGCGCACGGGUGCGUAACGCGUGGGAAUCUGCCCUUUGGUUCGGAAUAACAGCUGGAAACGGCUGCUAAUACCGGAUGAUGACGAAAGUCCAAAGAUUUAUCGCCAGAGGAUGAGCCCGCGUUGGAUUAGGUAGUUGGUGGGGUAAAGGCCUACCAAGCCGACGAUCCAUAGCUGGUCUGAGAGGAUGAUCAGCCACACUGGGACUGAGACACGGCCCAGACUCCUACGGGAGGCAGCAGUGGGGAAUAUUGGACAAUGGGCGCAAGCCUGAUCCAGCAAUGCCGCGUGAGUGAUGAAGGCCCUAGGGUUGUAAAGCUCUUUUACCCGGGAAGAUAAUGACUGUACCGGGAGAAUAAGCCCCGGCUAACUCCGUG
rnacentral:rRNA from 1 species